rnacentral:rRNA from 1 species
GACGAACGCUGGCGGCGUGCUUAACACAUGCAAGUCGAACGGAAAGGCCCUGCUUUUGUGGGGUGCUCGAGUGGCGAACGGGUGAGUAACACGUGAGUAACCUGCCCUUGACGUUGGGAUAAAUUCAGGAAACUGGGGCUAAUACCGGAUAGGAGCUCCUGCUGCAUGGUGGGGGUUGGAAAGUUUCGGCGGUUGGGGAUGGACUCGCGGCUUAUCAGCUUGUUGGUGGGGUAGUGGCUUACCAAGGCUUUGACGGGUAGCCGGCCUGAGAGGGUGACCGGCCACAUUGGGACUGAGAUACGGCCCAGACUCCUACGGGAGGCAGCAGUGGGGAAUAUUGCACAAUGGGCGGAAGCCUGAUGCAGCAACGCCGCGUGCGGGAUGACGGCCUUCGGGUUGUAAACCGCUUUCGCCUGUGACGAAGCGUGAGUGACGGUAAUGGGUAAAGAAGCACCGGCUAACUACGG